AGCAGCCGCGGUAAUUCCAGCUCCAAUAGCGUAUAUUAAAGUUGUUGCAGUUAAAAAGCUCGUAGUUGAAUUUUAGGCCUGGCCGGACGGUCCGUCUCUGGCGAGUACUGUUCUGUCGUCGGGUCUAUCCUUCUGGUGAAUCGGUAUGUCCUUAAUUGGGCGUGCCGGGGAGCCAGGACCAUUACCUUGAAAAAAUUAGAGUGUUUAAAGCAGGCU
rnacentral:rRNA from 1 species